GAUGAACGCUGGCGGCGUGCCUAAUACAUGCAAGUCGAGCGUAGCGGGGACGGGUGAGUAACCCGUUGAUAACCUCCUAUAAGACUGGGAUAAAUUCGGGAAACCGAAGUUAAACCGGCAACAUAUAGCAGGCUUUUCGCUGCAUUAGCUAGUUGUUAAGGUAACGGCUUACAAAGGCUACGAUGCCUAGACGACCUGAGAGGGUGAUCGGCCACACGGGAACUGAGACACGGUCCAGACUCCUACGGGAGGCAGCAGUAGGGAAUCUUCCGCAAUGGGCGAAAGCCUGACGGAGCAACGCCGCGUGUGUGAUGAAGGCCUUCGGGUCGUAAAGCUCUGUUAUUAGGGAGGCGGUACCUACUCAGAAAGCCACGGCUAACUACGUGCCAGCAGCCGCGGUAAUUC
rnacentral:rRNA from 1 species